rnacentral:rRNA from 1 species
UACAGAGGUCUCAAGCGUUGUUCGGAUUCAUUGGGCGUAAAGGGUGUGUAGGCGGCGCCGUACGUCGGGUGUGAAAUUUCGGAGCUUAACUCCGAAACUGCAUUCGAUACUGCGGUGCUUGAGGACUGGAGAGGAGACUGGAAUUUACGGUGUAGCAGUGAAAUGCGUAGAUAUCGUAAGGAAGACCAGUGGCGAAGGCGGGUCUCUGGACAGUUCCUGACACUGAGACACGAAGGCCAGGGGAGCAAACGGG